AUUUCCGGUUUUAUGUAAUGCAUUUAGCUCGUUCCAUUCUCAAUUCUCAUCCAUUUCGUUCGAAGCUGGCGACUAAGCAAGAUGAUCUUCAUUGCAAUCGCUUAUAUAUGCUGAACGUUUACUUCGCACCUUUAUAAUAAUGGCGAUAAAAUAAUGCUUCAGCUUGAGUGGCUAGCACGCCAAUACUGG